rnacentral:misc_RNA from 1 species
CGUGGUCGUUCAACUGCUGUGUGAAUAAGAAAAAAGAAAAGGAACAAUCUUUAUCUCUAUCUUUAUCCUUCACUAUUAUAUAAAAAUUCAAUUUCUUUUUUCUUUUUGGUGUACUGUUUAUCUUUGUGUGAUAUUUAAACAAGUAUUUACUGGUGAGGGCGGUAUUUUGGCAAAUGGGUCAUUUUUAAAUCUCUCCAAUUCGCUGAAAAAAUGGAUUUUUCUAUCUUUUGAGGGCAUCCAUCAUGGAUCUGGAAACUGGG